rnacentral:lncRNA from 1 species
ACAACAAACACGUGGUUGAACAAAUAGAUAAAUUAAAAGGCUAAAUUAUAUUAAAACAUAACAAGAAUUCAUCCUACAAAAGGUUCUAUAAAAACUCUAUAUAACAAAUUAGCUAUUCAUAAAAGUAUAUGAAAACAUAAUACUCAAAUUCAUAACCAACGAUAAAAAUAGGAAAAAGAAGGGUAAAAACUCAUAGUUUAAUCUUCCUCCUUACUCCUAGCGUGUUCUUGCCUCCAAGGGUGUUGUCUAACCCUAAAGUAGUGUCUUCCUCUCUCAAAUUUGUGUUUUAAGAUGAAUUGAUAUCAUUAGGGUUGAUGCGGGGCGAAAUUUUUCAAUCCAACUUCGGAUGGGAGAAGCUGGAAUCCGUGUCUGCCUUCACGCCUAGACGCGGACUUUGACGCGGAUCCUCGUCUGCCUUCGCAUCUAGACGCGGAUCCUCGUCUGCCACGCACGAAAAUAGAUGAGCUCCCAAUCCUUCAAUUUCUUCUUUUUGUGUCGAAUUGUCAUAUUUUGAUCAUUUAUCAUCCAAACUCGUUCCUACACAUAAGAAACACAUAAUGAGUAUAUUUCACUUCAAAAACCAUGUAAUAUCCAGCGACUCACACGAGAAUUAAUAUGCAAAUAUACUCAAAAAUAUGCAUUUUUCAUCAUUUAUCACAGUGCUUGGAAUAACUACAUCAAGGAUUUGUGCUCGAUAAUAGAGAUAAAUAUCGCACAAACGAAUCUUGUAGUUGUAAGUAGUUCGGACCUAAUAAAUGUAGUGUGAAGAAACUAACGACUGAAAUUAUCGAACAUGAAAGAGAAGAAAUUUCUUUUCUUAAUUUGAAACUAGUAGUUGUACUCGCACGAUACGCGGUCAAUAUUAAAAACAUUAAUUAAAUUAAAUUGUGAUUGGGCUUGUUUGAACAUAUUAUAUCGCAUUGCCUUAAUAAAUCUCAACUAUCACAUUAUUUGUCAAUAUGAUAUACCCAAUAAUAAAUUUUUUAUUAAAUUACAGGGAAUUAUAUAGUGUGAUGACCCAAAAGGUCAUCACUUAUUUUACAAGUCGAUUAUGUGAUCCGAGGCCUUAAAAACUCUUUUUGUCUCACCCCGAUUUGUGUGCGCAGUUUGGGCGCUUAUCUGGAAAGCCAUUAUGUAAAAAUCUGUGAAAAAUGAUAAAUUUUGCUUUUAAAAUAAAUUUAUGUUGACUUCAACCAACAUUAUAGGUAAACGGACCCAAGCCCAAGAAAUGAAUUUUUAAAGAAAAUUAUUUUCUGGAAUAUAUAAGAGCUUUUGAAAAUGAAAGAUGUUUGAAAUUGAUAGUAUCGGGCCCGUAUUUUGGUUUCGAAGCCCGUUACAAGUUUGAAAUAAUAAUUAGGUUGAAUCUGUAAAAUUUGGUAAAGAUAGGAAUUGGUUUGGUAUAAAACGAACUUAAAGUUGAGAAAUUGGAAUUUUGGUGUUCUUGAAUGAUUUCAUGAAUUUGGGGUUUAAUUCAUAGUUGUUAAUGUUAUUUUGAUGAUUUGAUUGCACGAGCAAGUCCGUAUGAUUUUUUUAGGUUAGUGUGCAUGUUUGGUUUGGAGCCCCAAGGGCUCGGGUGAGUUUUGGAUAGGUCACGUAGUGGAAUUGAACUUAGGAAGUUGCAGGUUUUCAGUUGGUAUGUGUUGCAGGCCUUGAUCUCACAAUUGCAAGGUCAGGUGUCGCAAUUACGAGCCUAUCAGGCUUGGGAAUUGCGAGGGCCACUUUGCAAUUGUGAAGUAUGCCCUGGCCAGCCUUUCUCGCAAUUGCGAGAAAUUCUUCGCAAAUGCGAAUAACCCAUAUAUCCCCAGUUGUAGAAAAUGCGAGUUCGCAAUUGCGAACAUCUGAUCGCAAAUGCAAAGAUAGCAGGUUUCUUAAGGGUUCGCAAUUGCAAACCCUGGUCGCAAUUGCAAACCUUGGUCGCAAUUGCCACAUCUGCAACCUGCUAAAUCAUAACUUAGCCGAAAAUUUCUGCAUUUUUCAAACAUUUUCAAAACCUAAACACCUUUCGGCGAUUUUUCAAAGACAACUACUCUUCCAAAUCGAUUGUAAGUCAUUUAUAACUCGUCUUCCUUAAUCUUUAACAUCUUUUCACAUGAUUUCAACUCAAAAUCAAGAGUUUUCAUGGGGAAAAUUGGGUGUUUUGGGUAGAACUUAGGUUUUUUGAAUUUUGAGGAUUUGAGGUCCGAUUUCAAAACAAAUUAUAUAUUUGGGCUCGUGGGUGAAUGAGUAAUCGGGUUUUGGUUCGGACCUCGGAUUUUGACCACGUGGGCCCGGGGUCGAUUUUUGACUUUUUGGGAAAAACUUUAGAAAACCUAUUUUCAUGCAUUAGAAUUAAUUCAUUUAGCAUUUAUUGAUAUAGUUAAGUAACUUGUGGCUAGAUACGAGCGAAUUGAUGGUGGAAUCAAGAGGUAAAGUUGUAGUUGAGGCUUGAAUUGUGUUCGUGGCAUCGAGGUAACUAUUUGGUCUAACCUUAGCUUGAGGGAUUAGGAGUCGUGUCUUAAUUGCUAUGUGUUAAUUGUUGAGUACGACAUAUAGGCAUGGUGACGAGUAUCUAUAUGUUGGUGUCAAGCAUGCCCGUGAGUCUUAUACUAUGAUUAAUGUGACUCCUUUUUGUAUUGUUCAUGCUUUAUAUAAUGAUUUCUAUUGUGAAACAAGGCUUGUGGAAGUAUUAUUGAUAAUUUAACAUUGUAGAGUGUUGGCUCAAGUUGAGAAUUGAAUUGUGAAGUAAAUGUUGAAAAGAGAAGAGAUUUAUGAUAUUGUCUCCCUUGCCGGGAUGUUAUUACUUUUGAUAUUAUCUCCAUUGUCGGGAUGUUAUUAUUCAUGAUAUUGUUUCCCUUGCCGAGAUAUUUUUGUUAUGCCAUUUGUUUCCUUGCCGGAAUUUUAUUGAAUUAUUAUUGAUUCCCUUGCCCAAAUUUCUUUGUGAUUGUUGGUUGGGUAAGGAAGAGUGUAAAGCACGAAGGGUGAUGUCGUUUAUGAUAUUUGUGAGAGAUGUUAAUCACGAAGGGUGAUGUCGUGCCGCACGAUAUACAAUUUUAUGCCAUGAUAUGAGUGUUAAUGCAUGAAGGAUCAUUCUGUGCCAUGAUUAUGUGAUGUAAAAGCACGAAGGGUGAUGUCGUGCCGAUUAUAUUGAUUUUAUGGUGAGGACGAGAGUAAAAGCAUGAAGGUGAUACUGUGCACUUGUUUGUUAUUUGUGAUUAUGUUGAUAAUUGAACUUUAAUGUUCCUUAAAUUUAUCUGUUGUUCUUCUAUUAUUACUUGAUGCUCCCCGCAGCAUGUUCCCCUUCCUAUCCUUAACUGUACAUUUCUGCCUUUAUUUUUCGAUGUAUAUGAUUUAACUGCACAGGUUUAUUUUGGUAGUCUGGUCCUAGCCUUGUCACUACUUCGCCGAGAUUAGGCUACUCACUUACCAGCAUAUGGGGUCGGUUGUGCUGAUACUACACUCUGCACUAUGUGCAGAUCCCGUUGCUGCAGCUUUUGGACCGCAGUAAAGGUGUUGUCUUCAGUCCAUUCAGGUGACCCGAGGUAGUCCUGUAGGCGUCCGCAGGCCUGGGCGUCUCCUUCUAUCAUUUCCUUUCUGUUUUUACUUAUUUAGAGACAGAUUCGUGUAUUUCGAUUCAGACUUUAUUUGUAGUAUUCAUAGAUGGUCCGUGACAUUGUAACACCAAAUUCUGGGUAUAGUUGUACUUAGAAUUUCACAGUUUGUAUUAAUUUAAAUUAUCGCAUUUCGUCUUCCGCACUAUUUUUGUUAUCAUUGUUUCCGCUAUUUUUGUUAUGUUAUUUUGGAAUUGCUAAGGGAUAUAAUUGAAGAUGGUUAAAUAAUUGAAUUAAUCGGCUUGUCUAGCUUUCACUAGUAGGUGCCAUCACGACUCCCAAGGGUGGGAAUUUCGGGUCGUGACAAGUUGGUAUCAAAGCUCUAGGUUACUUAGGUCUCACAAUUCAUGGACAAUCUUAGUAGAAUCUAAGGGAUCAGUACGGAGACGUCCGUAUUUGUCCCCCAGAGGCUACAGAGUUAGGAAAAUUUUCACAUCUAUUUUUUCCUUUCGUGCGAUUUGAUUUCUCAAUGCUAAUUGAAUUUCUACUAUGUUCUUUCGCAGAUAGCGAGAACACGCGCUUCCUCAUCCGCUAAUCAACAGCCCGAGCUCCCAACAGUAGCUCCCACGAGGGGCAGAGGGCGAGGCCAAGGCCGUGCUAGAGGCCGAGGCAGGGGCAAAGCUCAGCCCAGAGCAGCAACACCAGCGGCGGAGCCUCAGGUUGAGUUUGAUGAUGAGGUUUCGGCCCAGGCAGUUUCGGCGGGCCCAGCUCAGGUCCCAGAGGGGUUCAUUGCUACCCCAGUACUCUAGGAUGCUCUGGUCCAUCAAGUGGGCCUUAUGGAGAGUGUCACCCGGGCAGGCUUACUUCCGGUAGCACCAGCCGUCUCACAGGCUACGGCAGGAGCACAGACUCCUGCUACCCGCACUCCAGAGCAGAUGGCUCCCCAGUUUAAGACUCCAGCAGCUCAGCCAGCUGGAGCUAUUCACCCGGGUGUGGUAUCUCAGACCAGUGAUGGAGCAGCUAUGUCUGCUAAUGCCUUGUGGAGUUGGACAGGUUUACCAAGCUCUUCACUACCACUUUCAGCGGUGCGUCUUCUGAGGAUCCCCAGGAUUAUUUAGACAACUGUCAUAAGGUCUCAGGAACAUGGGGAUAGUGAAGACCAAUGGAGUCGACUUUGCUUCUUUUCCCUUAUCUGGAUCCGCCAAGACUUGGUAGAGAGAUUAUUUUUUGGCUAGACCAGUUGGGUCACCAUCUUUGACUUGGGAUAAGUUUUCUCAGCUAUUUCUGGAGAAGUUUCUUCCUAUCACUCAUAGGGAGAACUAUCGGAGGUAGUUUGAGCGUCUCCAGCAGGGUUCUAUGACUGUUACUCAGUAUGAGACUAGGUUUAUUGAUUUUGCCUGUCAUGCUCUUCUUAUACUUCGCACUGAGAGAGAGAGAGAGAGAGUGAGGAGGUUCAUUGAGGGACUCAUUCAGCCUAUUCGACUUCAUUUGGAUAAGGAGACAGGGAGCGAGAUUUCUUUUCAGGAUGCGGCCAAUGUGGCCAGGAGAGUCGAGAUGGUUCUGUCACAGGGGAGUGGCCAGGGGUCUGACAAGAGACCUCGUCAUUCUGGUAGGUUUAGUGGUGGCUCAUAUGGAGACAAGGAUUCUUUUGGUAGGGGCUAUCCUCCCAGGCCAUUUCAUUCAGCACUUUAGGCUUCUUAUGAUGCUCUAGGCAGUCGUGGUUCUCAUAUGUAGUAUUUCGAUCAGUUGCCCUAUAGUGCACCGCUAGCCCCUAUCAGUGCACCUUUGCUUCAGAGUUUAUAGAGUGGUUAUUCAGGCCGUCAGGAUCAGCAGUCUCAGCCACCGAGGGCUUGUUAUUCAUGUGGUGACAUGGGGCAUAUUUCUAGAUUUUUACCUUCAGCACCGAGCAGUUCUCAGCAUCAGGGUUCUUGUGCCAUGGUUUAGGCACCGAGUGUUCCACCGCCUGCCCAGCUAGUUAGAGGUGGGGGUAGAGGUGCUAGAGGUAGAGGUAGAGGUAUUAGAGGUGGAGGUCACGCCUCUAGAGAUGGAGGCCAGCUAGCAGGAGGUCGUCCUAGAGAUGUAGUUUAGAGUGAUGGAGCCUAGCCCCGAUAAUGCUCUUCCAGCCAGGCCUAAGUCUAAGGCUUCCGAUGCAGUUAUCACCGGUACUGUUCUGGUUUGUAGUAGAGAUGAUUCAGUUCUAUUUGAUCCAGGAUCUACAUACUCCUAUGUGUCAUCUUAUUUUGCAUUGUAUCUUGUCAUGCUUAGUGAUUCUUUGAGUGCUCAUGUAUAUAUGUCUACACCGGUGGGUGAUUCUAUUAUGGUAGAUCGUGUCCAUCAUUCAUGUAUAGUUAUGAUUGGGGUCUUGAGACUCGAGUAGAUUUGUUACUAUUGGACAUGGUUGAUUUUGAUGUCAUAUUAGGGAUGGACUAGUUAUCACCUUACCACGCUAUCUUGGACUAUCAUGCCAAGACUGUAACCUUAGCCUUGCCGGGUUUACCUUGUUUAGAGUGGAGAGUGACUCCUGGUCAUUCUACCCAUAGUGUUAUCUCAUAUAUGAAGGCUUGGUGUAUGGUCGAGAAGGGGUGUUUGGCUUAUCUGGAGUAUGUUCGUGAUUCUAGUGCUGAGGUUCCUUCUCUGGAUUUUGUGCUUGUUGUUCGUGAGUUUCCAGAGGUAUUUCCUUUACACUUGCUUGGUAUGCCACCCGACAGGGAUAUUUACUUCUGCAUUGAUUUGGCUCCGGGCACCCAGCGCAUUUCUAUUCUGCCAUAUCGUAUGGCCCCGUCUGAGUUGAAAGAAUUAAAGGAGCAAUUGAAAGACUUGCUUGAUAAGGGCUUCAUUAGGCCUAGUGUCUCGCCUUGGGGUGCGUCGGUGUUGUUUGUUAAGAUGAAGGACGGAUUGAUGAGAAGGUGUAUAGAUUAUUAGUUGAACAAGGUUACAAUCAAGAAUAAGUAUCCAUUACCGAAGAUUGAUGAUUUGUUUGAUUAGCUUCAGUGUGCCAAGGUAUUUUUGAAGAUUGACUUGAGAUCUGGCUACCAUUAGUUGAGGAUUAGGGCAUCCGAUGUCCUUAAGACAGCUUUCCGCACUCGGUAAGGGCAUUAUGAGUUCUUGGUGAUGUCAUUUGGGUUGACAAAUGCCCCAACAGCUUUUAUGGAUUUGAUGAACUAAGUGUUCAAGACUUACUUGGAUUCGUUCGUAAUAGUAUUCAUUGAUGAUUUUUUGAUCUAUUCCCACAGCCGGGAGGAGCAUGAGCUGCAUCUGAGAGUGGUUCUUCAGACUUUGAGAGAUAGUCAGUUAUAUGCUAAGUAUUCAAAGAGUGUGUUCUGGUUGAGUUCAAUUGCAUUCUUGGGUCAUGUUGUAUCAGCAUAGGGUAUUCAGGUAGAUCCGAAGAAGAUAGAGGCAGUCAAGAACUAGCCUAGACCCGCAUCAGCUAUAGAGAUCCGGAGUUUCUUGGGUUUGACAGCCUUUUAUCGUCGGUUUGUGGAGGGGUUUUAAUCUAUUGCAGCCCCAAUGACCAGGUUGACCCAGAAGGGUGCCCAGUUUAGGUGGUCGGACGAGUGUGAGGCAAGCUUUUAGAAGCUCAAGACAGCUUUGACUAUGGUGACGGUGUUGGUUUUUCCCACAGGUUCAGGGCCAUAUACAGUUUAUUGUGAUGCAUCUCAAAUUGGACUUGGUGCAGUGUUGAUGCAGGAUGGCAAGGUCCUUGAUUAUGCUUCGAGUUAGUUGAAGAUUCAUGAGAAGAAUUACCCAGUUCAUGAUUUGGAGUUAGUAUCCAUUGUUCGUGCAUUGAAGAUUUGGAGGCAUUAUCUAUAUGGCGUGUCAUGUGAGGUGUUCACUGAUCACAAGAGUCUGCAAUAUUUUUUCAAGCAGAAGGAGAUAAAUUUGAGGCAUAGAAGGUGGUUGGAGCUAUUGAAAGACUAUGAUAUCACCAUUUAAUAUAUCAUCCGGGGAAGGCCAAUGUGGUGGCCAAUGCUUUGAGUAGGAAGUCAGCCAGUAUAGGCAAUCUUGCGUAUAUUCCGGUUGGUGAGAGACCGCUUGAUUUGGAUGUUCAGGCUUUGGCCAAUCAGUUCAUGAGGUUGUAUGUUUCUGAGCCCAGCCGUGUGUUAGCUUGCACAGUCAUGCGCUCUUCUUUAUUGGAGCGUAUCCGAGGUUAGAAGUAUGAUAAUCCUCAUUUGUGUGUCCUUAGGGACACGGUGCAGCACGGUGGUGCCAAGUAGGUUACAUUAUGAGAUGAUGGAGUUUUGAUGUUGUAGGGUCGAGUUUGUGUGCCUAAUGUGGAUGGGCUUCGAGAGUUGAUUUUAGAGGAGGCCCAUAGUUUCCGGUACUCUAUUCAUCCGGGCACCGCUAAGAUGUAUCAGGAUUUGCGGCAGCAUUAUUGGUGGAGGAGGAUGAAGAAGGAUAUUGUUGCAUAUGUGGCUCAGUGUUUGAAUUGUCAGCAAGUAAAGUAGAGCAUCAGAGACCUGAUGGUUUGUNNNNNNNNNNNNNNNNNNNNNNNGGGUUAUUGUUGAUAGGCUGACCAAGUCAGCACAUUUCAUUCCUAUGGCAGUCUCCUAUUUUUCCGAGAGGUUAGCUGAGAUAUAUAUCCGGGAGAUUAUUCGUCUUCAUGGUGUGCCCGUGUCUAUCAUUUUGGACCAGGGUACGCAGUUUACCUCACAUUUUUGGAGACCAGUUUAGCAUGAGUUGGGCACACGGAUCGAGUUGAGCAUAGUAUUUCAUCCUCAGACGGACGGGCAGUCCGAGCGUACUAUUCAUAUUUUGGAGGAUAUGCUCCGAGCUUGUGUCAUUGACUUUGGAGGCUCGUGGGACCAGUUCUUUCCUUUAGCAGAGUUUGCCUACAACAAUAGUUACUAGUCGGGCAUCCAGAUGGCUCCUUAUGAGGAUUUAUAUGGUAGGCGGCAUCGGUCGCCGGUUGGAUGGUUUGAGCCGAGAGAGGCUCGAUUGUUGGGUACGGAUCUAGUACAGGAUGCCUUGGACAAGGUCAGGAUCAUCCAGGAUAGAUUUCGUACAGCUCAGUCCAAAUAAAAGAGUUAUGCCGACCGUAAGGUUCGUGAUGUGGCAUUCAUGGUCGGCGAGCGGGUGUUGCUUCGGGUGUUGCCUAUGAAGGGCGUGAUGAGAUUUGGGAAGAAGGGCAAGCUUAGCCCUAGAUUCAUUGGUCCGUUUGAGAUUCUUGAUCGAGUGGGAGAGGUGGCUAACAGACUUGCGUUGCCUCCGAGUUUAUCAGUCGUGCAUCCAGUGUUUGAUGUGUCCAUGCCUCGGAAGUAUCACAACGAUCCAUCCCACAUAUUAGACUUAAGCACUAUCCAAUUGGACAAGGACUUGUCCUAUGAGGAGGAGCCGGUAGCUAUUCUAGACCGGCAGGUUUGUUAGUUGAGAUCGGAGAGUUCCCUUCUAUUCGUGUUCAGUGGAGAGGUCAACCUAUUGAGGCAUCGACCUGAGAGUCCAAGUCCGAUAUGCGAAGCCGUUAUCCUCAUCUUUUCUCCGACUCAGGUACUUCCUUCUUAUGUAUGUUUUAGGACAAAUGGUUGUUUUAGAGGUGGAGAAUGUGAUGACUCAGAAGGCCAUCACUUGUUUUACAAGUUGAUUCUGUGAUCUGAGACCUUAAAAACCUCUUUUUAUCUCACCUCGAUUUACGUGUGCAUACCAGGUAUGUAUCCGGAAAGCCAUUAUGUGAAAAUAUGUAAAAAAAAGGAUAAUUUUUGCUUUUAAAAUGAAUUUAAGUUGACUUCGGUCAACAUUUUGGGUAAACGGACCCGGACCAAUGAUUUAACAGUCCCGAAGGGUUAGUACGAAAAUAUGGGACUUGGGCGGAUGCCCGAAAUUGAAUUUUGAGGUCCCAAGCCCGAGAAAUGAGUUUUUAAAGAAAAUUAUUUUCUGGAAUAUAUAAGAGUUUUUGAAAAUUAAAUAUAUUUGAAAUUGGUGGUAUAGGGCCCGUAUUUUAGUUCUGGAGCCCGGUACAAGUUUGAAAUAAUAAUUGGGUUGAAUCUAUAAAAUUUGGUAAAGAUCGGAACUGUUUUGGUAUAAAACAGAUUUAAAGUUGAGAAAUUGGAAUUUUGGUGUUCUUGAAUGAUUUCAUGAAUUUGGGGUUUAAUUCAUAGUUGUUGAUGUUAUUUUGAUGAUUUGAUUGCACGACCAAGUCCGUAUGAUAUUUUUAGGUUAGUGUGCAUAUUUGGUUUGGAGCCUCGAGAGCUCGGGUAAGUUUUGGAUAGGCCACGGAGUGGAAUUGAACUUAGAAAGUUGCAGGUUUUCAGCCGGUAUGUGUUGCAGGACCUGAUCUUGCAAUUGCGAGGUCAGGUGUCGCAAUUGCGAGCCUAUCAAGCUUGGGAAUUGCGAAGGUCACUUCGCAAUUGCGAAGAAUGCCCUGACAACCUUUCUCGCAAUUGUGAAAAAUUCUUCGCAAAUGCGAAUAAACCAUAUAUCCCCAGCCGUCGCAAAUGUGAGUUCGCAAUUGUGAAGAUAGCAGGUUUCUUAAGGGUUCGCAAUUGCGACAUCUACAACUUGUUAAAUUAUAACUUAGCCGAAAAUUUUUGCAUUUUUCAAACCUUUUCAAAACCUAAAUACCUUUGGGCGAUUUUUCAAAGACAACUACUCUUCUAAAUUGAUUGUAAAUCAUUUCUAACUCGUCUUCCUUAAUCUUUAACAUCUUUUCACAUGAUUUCAACUCAAAAUCAAGGGUUUUCAUGUGGGAAAUUGGGUGUUUUGGGUAGAACUUAGAUUUUUCGAAUUUUGGGGAUUUGGACCUCGAUUUGAGGUCCGAUUUCAAAAUAAAUUAUAUAUUUGGGUUCGUGGAUGACUGGGUAAUCGGGUUUUGGUCCGAACCUCGAGUUUUGACCAUGUGGACCCGGGGGUCGAUUUUUGACUUUUUAGGAAAAAUAGAAAACCUAUUUUCAUGCAUUAGAAUUAAUUCAUUUAGCAUUUAUUGAUAUAGUUAAGUAACUUGUGGCUAGAUACGAGCGAAUUGAUGGUGGAAUCAAGAGGUAAAGUUGUAGUUGAGGCUUGAAUUGUGUUCGUAGCAUCGAGGUAAGUGUUUGGUCUAACCUUAGCUUGAGGGAUUAGGAGUCAUGUCUUAAUUACUAUGUGUUAAUUGUUGAGUACGACGUAUAGGCAUGGUGAGAAGUAUUUGUACGUUGGUGUCAAGCAUGCCCGAGAGUCUUAUACUAUGAUUAAUGUUACUCCGUUUUGUAUUGUUCAUGCUUUAUAUGAUGAUUUCUAUUGUGAAACAAGGCUUGUGGAAGUAUUAUUGAUAAUUAAACAUUGUAAAGCGUUGGCUCAAGUUGAGAAUUGAGUUGUAAAGUAAAUGUGGAAAAGAGAAGAAGUUUAUGAUAUUAUCUCGCUUGCCAGGAUAUUAUUAUUUUUGAUAUUAAAUCCCUUGCCGGGAUGUUAUUAUUCCUGAUAUUGUUUCCCUUGUCGGGAUAUUUUUGUUAUGCCAUUGUUUCCUUGCCGGGAUUUUAUUGAAUUAUUAUUGAUUCCCUUGCCCAAAUUGCUUUGUGAUUGUUGCUUCAGUGAGGAAGUGUGUAAAGCACGAAUGGUAAUGCCGUGUAUGAUAUUUGUGAGAUAGUGUUAAUGCACGAAGGGUGAUGUCAUGCCGCACGAUGUACAAUUUCGUGCCAUGAUAUGAGUGUUAAUGCACGAAGGAUCAUUUCGUGCCAUAAUUAUGUGAAGUAAAAGCACGAAGGGUGAUGUCGUGCACUUGUCUGUUAUUUCUGGUUCUAUUGAUAAUUGAACCUUAAUGUUCCUUAUAUUUAUCUGAUGUUCUUCUGUUAUUACUUGAUGUUCCUUGCAGCAUGUUGCCCCUCAUAUCCUUAACUGUACAUUUCUGACUUUAUUUUUCGUUGUAUAUGAUUUAACUACACAGGUUUAUUUUGAUAGUCUGGUCCCAGCCUCGUCACUACUUCGUCGAGGUUAGGCUAGGCACUUACUAGCAUAUGGGGUCGGUUGUGCUAAUACUACACUCUGUACUGUGUAUUGAUCCCGGUGCUGCAGCUUUUGGACCGCAGUGAGGGUGCUGUCUUCAGUCCAUUUAACCGAUCCAAAGUAGUCCUGCAGGCGUCCGCACGUCUUGGCGUCUCCUUCUAUCAAUGGGAACCAUUACAUCACAAAUUACCAUUCACGUUAGUCUCAUGAAAUCGUGACAAUCCUAUUUGACACAUCAAAAAUUAACUCAGUCGCAAGUCAUGCACUGUCCCAGCAGCUUCUCUUCCCUGUUCCUCUCGUGAGCGUUUUUUUUCUGCCCACAAAAUGAACAAUGAAUUGCAUCAUCCAUUCUUGCGAGUGGGUGGACAUCAAUUUCCCUCUUUGUUUGUUUUUCCGGUUUAAGCAUCUAGUAUUUAAAGCUCACUAACAAUUUAAAUUUAUGUCGCGUAAGGUUUACCAGAUGGGAAGGGCUCUCGCACCCUACUAGAAAUUUUUUAAUUUUCAUGAUUCUAAUUCGAAAUUCCAAACUAAAAAUAAAGGAAUCUUAUUUAUCAUAUCAUACUUUUUUUGGUUUGGUUGGCACUAACCUUACCUAGCUAUUAAGCCAUCUAAGAUAAUGUUAGGCAAAUAAGCACUCAUCAUUAACUUUCUGUGAUAAAAAAAUUUAGAAAACUAUUUUCUCUCGAAGCUAUUAAGACAUCUACGAUAAUGUUAGGCAAAAUAACACUCGUGCCUUCCGUCCAACUUUUCAGCUCUUUCGAUCUUUUCCAUUUUAGUAUUUCCCCAUCGUUAUCUUUUGUGAUUAAAUUUUUCGGAAACCAUUUUCUCAAGAGGAAAACUUUGCUAUUGAACAGCACCGGUCGUCUACUCUAGAGGCGUCGCUAGAAGUGCCCGUGUAGCGACGUAGGCAUAUAAAUUUUAUUAAAAUUAAAUCCAUAAGAUAAUUUGAAUUGUAUUUUAAAUUCAAGAUAUAUCAGUCCAAAAUAAAUAUUAUGUGCUAAUAUAAUUGAAUUAAUUAUAUAAAUCCAAUAUAUAUAGAUUAAAUAAAUAAGUCUUAAUCUAUUGGGCUAGCUCAUUUAAUUGGGCCAAAGCGAUGAGCACACUUAAUUAAGCCCAAGAUGUCGUCUUCUUACAGGCCUAGUAUGGUGCCACGUGUUGAAUGAUGUGGCAUGGGCAAGUCAAACAGAAGAGUCAAUGGGAUCAUGCUACCUGUCAAAAUGACAAUGCAUGCCAAGUCAAAUUAAAAGGACAAUGAAAUCACACCACAUGUGCGAGUGGCAUGUUCUGACCAAUCAAAUAGGGCCUUGUCACUCUUCAAUCUGAUUGUUCGGAUAGAGUUUGUUCUCAUCACAACUCUUCCCUCCCACAACUAUAAACAGGGGUCUUCAUAACCUAUAAAAGACACCCAAAGUUAUAACAAGAAACAAGAGAGAGCUCGUAGAUCAAACGGCGCAGAUUUCCUACAAGUUUCAAGCUUCAAGCAAUCAAGUUCAAGUUUAAGAAAUCAAGUUCAAGCUCAAGAACGAAGAACAAAUCAAGAUUCAAGGAGUACGAGUUCAAAUCAAAGUUUGUGCUAGUUGAAUCCAAGAUCAUCAUUCGUGGCAACAAAUAUAGAUUCAAGAUCAAUCUCUAACUUAAUAGAAUGCUCAAUCUGUUGAGUUAGUUACACCAACCGAGGAUGAAGUCUCGGCACUUUGGGGUGAAUUUGAUUUGGUAGAAAAUUCCAACUCCCAUUUCUAGGCCCUAGUUGUUGUGCCCGGUGCUGCAGGACUGAUUAUCUGGUUCUUGCCAUCUUCGGUUGGCAAGCAUCCCACAACUAACACUACGUUUGUCGGGGUUGAUUCUCAUCCUUCACCGCCAUCAGCUUCAUAUCCUUCUUCCCUAGCUCUUCCAUCAAAAACUGCUACGACAUCUCCAUCGGCCACACCUGACCAAGAAAAAGGUGUUCCUCUUCCCUAGUCCCCAAUUCAUGGGAAUUUGGGGCAAACUUAUGCUGCCCCCUUUGAAGAUCUGCAAGGGAGGAGGAAUGUUAUUCUUUCGGUCUCCACCGGAUGCAACUUGUUAUCACAUCCGGUGGAACUUGCUAAUUAUCUGAAGCUUUUGGCCUCAAAAAAAUAGAUUGGAAAAAGAUCCAGGCUCUCUCGGGAUAGUGCUUGUUGAACAACGCCAUGCACCACGCCAUAAUAGUAUAUUCCUUACCUCCUUUAUUAUUUCUUCUAUUUUUCCUAAACAUAUCCUGAGUUUUUCCUUUCUUGCUUUGUAGGCCAACUUUCUUGCUUUCGAGGGCCUUCGGUGGUUGAUUCGUGUGAAGGAAGAAAUUACCUCUGCUUGGGAUCAGCUUUUGGCAGCACGGGAAUAAAGUGUUACUCGCCUAUCGGAACUGGAAGCCAAAGCCACUAAGGCCAUUGUACCAGAAGCUCGUUUGCAACAAAGCAAGCAAGAGGUGGAAACCCUUAGCCAAGAGAUCGCCCCACUGAGGGUUCAAUUUGAAGAGGCCAAAUGGGUUGAAGUCCAUAAUGUCGUUCUUGCUGCGUCCGAUCAUGAGGCUGCCUCUAUUGAAAGAUCGACUAAUUUAGAGGCAGCCUUGAAUUCCAAGACUGAAGAGCUUGCUGCUGCGGUGGUGAAAUAUGCCCGGUUGGAAGAGAAGUAUAAAAAGACACUUGAGCACAAUAGAAUUUUCAGCUCUACUGUCUGUGAUCUUGACGUUAGCCUCAAGUCCAUUAGAUCCACCCGGGAAAAUCUUUGUGCCGAGGUGACUCAACUCAAAGACGAACUUAAGAUUUAGAGGAUUCCUUCAUUGUUGAGAAAACUUAUGCCAUAUGCAACAUGAGGAGAAAAACCUUAGAAGAGGCCAAAGCUAGUAGCAUUGAUUUUUAUGCUAAAAUUCCUAAGACCCGUGAACUUGAGUUGGCUGCUAAAAAUGGACUCCAAGCGGAUCCCUCAGAAGAGCCUGAUGCUCCUGAUUCUUCUGGUUCCGGUUCUGAAUUUUCGGGAACAGAAGAGGAACCGAAAGGUGAUGAUAUUGAGGGCCAAAUUAUUGAGGCAUUGGUGAAUCUUCCUACUUCCCCUGGGGGUGCGGACACUUCUCUUCCUCAGAGAUCCGAAGAGGCAACAGUUUAGCUUUUCCUUUAUUUUUCCAACUUUUGUACUUGUGUUAUUUUGUCACUUUUAUUGUUAAUAAAACAUCUUUUUCUCAAGUAUUGCACGAGUAUUUUUGCGUUCUUUCGUUUGAGCAUUUAUGCAAGUUUAAACCUUUGCAUUCAUUUUUGCUUAAGUGUUUUGUAAAAGUUUUACUAUUUGCGUCUGAUUAUGCAAGGCCUUGGGUGUAUUUUUUUUCACCAGAAGCAUCUGUAUUUCCGGCACAAACGCAUCCAAAAUCAACCCUUUAAAAUGAGAUUUUUUGUAAGUAUUUGCGCAAGUUUGCUUUUUGCGUCUUUUUGUACAAGGCUUCGAGUGUAUUUUUUUCCCGAAGGCAUUUUGAUUCCGGGCAUAACUUGUUCUGAAAUCAAUCCUUUAAUGUGAGAGUUUUCAUAAGAGGGCCCUCUUAUGUUUACGGUGCUCUUGAAGAGGAUGUCUCAUAUUUAAUACGGCACUAGCAUUUAAAGUAUUUGUUUAACUUUUAAAUAACACAAAUAAUUCAUCGUUCAGAGAAGAAAAAAGAUAGAAAUAAAAGGAAUUCAUUUUAUUCCUUCCAUUUUCAAAAAGUAGAUAAGCAUUUGUUAUGCUAAAAAAGAAAUUUCCAUUAUUUGUGGCUAACUUGUACAACUUGUUUCUAUGGGGCUGGUCGCGCAGUCCCCGAUCAUAAUGAUACAACUAUGUUUUUGGUUUUUUUUUUCUGGUCGACGUGGCAGUCAUUGUUGCCUUAUCCUCGUAUCAUUCCCCUUAGUGUUCGAAUGCGAACAAUGUGAAUUGGAACACUGGAAGUUUUGCACCUUCGAGGACCCCAUUAAUUAAUUGCUAGACAUUCUUAUACUCGGUAACAAACUUCGCUUCCCCUUAGGAAUUUAUGCUAUCAAGCAAAAGACUAUCUAACAAUCCUUUAAUGGUUUGCACUUGUGAAUGGUCGGGUAACAUUUAUCCUAUAGCAAACUUAACUUACCCGUGGGAAUUUUUCUAUAGAGACAAAGACUAUCUAACCGUUCUAGAGUGUCUCUUUGCUUGUGUGCCUUGUUAUUAAGGUCUUAUUUUUGUUAAAGCUUUCAUCGUAGUAUACUUUCUGUUGCUGCCUCAUUAAAAACAUUGCUAGAAAAAUCCAAUUGGGACAAAAGCUGGAUGAAGGGAAAAAAAGUGCAGCACAUACCUUUAGUUCAGGCGAUGUUCAUUAGCAAAUAUCUUUUGAGGUGUGCCAUGUUCCAAUUGAUAGGCAAAUUUUCUCCAUCUUGAUUGUCCAAUUCAUACGAACCUUUCUCGGUGAUAGCUGAAAUCCGGUAGGGGCCUUCCCAUGUUGGACCUAGCUUCUCUGCAUUAAGCUCCUAGGUGUUUUGAGUUACCUUCCUCAAGACCAAGUCUCCUACUUUGAAAUAACGGAGGUUGGCUCUUCGAUUAUAUUAUCUUUCCAUUCUCCGCUUUUGGGUUGGCAUUCUUACAUGCACUAAGUCCUUGCGCUCAUCGAGUAGCUCCAAGUUGACUAACAUUGCUUCAUUGUUUGAUUCUUCAUCUGCUUUGAAUAUCUCAACAUGGGUUCCCCUACUUCCACCGAGAUUAAUGCUUCUGCGCCAUACACAAAGGAAAAAGGAGUUUCUCUUGUGCUUGAUUUGGCUGUUGUUCGGUAUGCCCAUAAGACUCAGGGUAACUCCUUGGGUCAUUUUCCUUUAGCCGCUUGCAACCUUUUCUUGAGGUUUUGUAUAAUCACUUUAUUCGUUGACUCUGCUUGACCAUUUGCGCUCGGAUGGUAGGGUGAAGAUGUGAUCCUCUUUAUUUUCAAAUCUUCGAGGAACUUUGUGACUUCUGUGCUGAUGAAUUGUGGCCCAUUAUCGCAUAUAUCUCUUUUGGUAUUCUGAACCUGCAAAUUAUGUUUUUCCACAAGAAAUCCACCACUUCAUGCUCGCUGAUCUUUUGAUAAGGAACUGCUUCCACCCACUUAGAAAAAUAGUCAGUUAAAAUCAAAAGAAAUCUUACCUUACCGGGAGUCGGCGACAGUGGUCCAACGAUGUCCAUCCCCCAUUUCAAGAAUGGCCAUGGGGACAUAACCGAAUGCAAUGGUUCUGCUAGUUGAUGUACCAGUGGUGCAUAGCAUUGGCACUUAUUGCAUUUUUGUACAAAGUCUUUGGUGUCUUGCUCCAUGUGGGGCUAAUAAUAUCCUGCCUUUACCAGCUUUAGCACUAAGGAAUUUGCGCCCGAAUGGUUUUCGCAUAUCCCUUUGUGAACUUCUCAUAUUACAUAAUUAGCUUUGGAUGCCCCCAAACAUCGGGCCAGGGGCCUUAGAAAUAUUUUCUGUACAGUUGGCCUCUUUUUAAGCUAUACCGUGUUGCGUUGGCGUGCAGUGCUCUGGGUGCCUUGGAGUCUUUGGGCAGUUUCUCGUGCUUGAUAUAAUCGAUGAUUUCAUUCCUCUAGUCCCAGACCAAAUUAGUCGUAUUUACCUCAUAGUAGAUAUCCGCAUCUAGGACAGAGUUCAUCAGUUGUACUAUUAUCCCGACUUUGAUCCCUUUAUUUUUUUCGAUGAGCUGAGGUUAGCCAAUGCAUCUGGUUCUGCAUUUACUUCCCUCAGGAUAUGAGUAAUCGACCACUCCAGAAAUCGAGCCAACCGAGCCUGCACCUUUAUCACGUAUUAUUUCAUGUGCUCCUAUUUGGUUUCAAAAUUCUCAUAGACCUGAUUUACCACUAUCUGUGAGUCGCAUUUGACUUCUAUUACCUCGGAAUCUAGUCCCCGAGUCAGUUCGAGCCCUGCAAUCAAAGCCUCAUACUCUACUUUAUUAUUAGUUAAAGGGAUCAUUCUAAUGGCUUGCCUUAGGGUUUCUGCCGAAGGCGUGAUUAAUACUAUUCCAAGACCGGACCCUUUUACACUGGUAUCUCCGUCCAUAAAUAAGGUUGAAACCCCCGAUGUUGAUUCUGACACCAUUACUACCUCUUUGAUUGCCAGAGGAAGCAAUCCCGAACUAAAAUCAGCUGCAACGCCAGCCUAGAUUUGUGACCUAAUCGCAGUCCUUGGUUUAUAUUCUAUGUCAAACUCACUCAUUUCGAUGGCCCACUUGGCCAACCUACCCAAGAUUUCGGGUUUGUGGAGUAUGUUCCGUAGAGGAAAAGUGGUCACCACGGCUAUUGGAUGACAUUGGAAAUAGGGCCUCAGCUUUCGAGUGGCGACUACGAGAGCUAAGGCCAGUUUCUCCAAAUGCGGGUAGCGAGUUUCUGCUCCUAUUAAAUUUUUACUAACGUAAUAAAUGGGAGAUUGCAUUCCUUUAUUCUCACGAACUAAAACUGCACUUAUCGCGACUUCCAAGACUGCGAGGUAGACUAACAGUGUUUCACCUUCCUUUGGUUUAGAAAGUAGCGAAGGGCUUGACAAGUACCUUUUCAAAUAUUUUAAAGCCUGCUGGCACUCCUGGUUCCAUUGGAAGUUGUUUUUCUUUUUUAGCAGUGCAAAGAAAUGGUGACAUUUCUCUGAUGACUCGAAAAUGAACCUGCUCAACGCUGCCAAUAUUCCCGUGAGCCUUUGGACCUCUUUCAUGCUUGACAGCUUGUCCGGGAUGUCUUCGAUAGACUUGAUCUUAUCAGGGUUUACUUCAAUCCCCCUUUGCGAUACCAAAAAUCCCAGGAACUUGCCAGUACUGACCCAGAACGCGCAUUUCUUGGGGUUAAGAUUCAUGUUAUGCUUCCUUAGGAUGUCAAAUGUUUCUUGUAGAUGCUUAAGGUGAUCGCCUAUAUUCAAAGACUUAACAAGCAUAUCGUCUAUAUAAACUUCCAUAGUGUUUGCUAUUUGUUUUUGAAACAUCUUGUUCACGAGUCGCUGAUAAGUGGCUCCAGCAUUCUUCAACCCGAAGGCAUCACAAUAUAGAAAUAUUUGUCGAAAUUUGUUAUGAACGAAGUUUUUUCCUGAUCCUUCCGGUUCAUCUUAAUUUGGUUGUACUCGGAAUAAGCAUUGAGGAAACUCAUUAACUCGUGCCCGGACUUCGCAUCUAUCAUUUGAUCAAUGUUUGGUAGUGGGAACGAGUCUUUCGAGCAUGCCUUAUUCAAGUCCUUAAAAUCUACACAUAUGUGAAAUUUGUUGUUCUUCUUAGGAACUACAUUAGCUAGCCAGUGGGGUGAAUUUACCUCUCGGAUUGACCCGAUAUAAAGUAAGCGAGUUACCUCUUCUUUCAAGAAUUUAUUCCUGGCUUUUGCAAUAGGGCAUUUCUUUUGUCUUACUGGAGGUAUGUUGGGGUCCAUACUUAACUUGUGUGCGGCUACCUCCGUCGGGAUACUAGUGUGUCGUUAUGCGAUAACAACAAUCUGUCUACAUCCUUGUAUGCGGCGAAAUGAGAGGGCAUAAUUUCUUGCUAUCAAGUCACUUCAGAAGAAUGUCUCGAGAGCCCGAGGAUGCGGAGUUGCGGCCGAGUUCCCUUCCUCGGGGCUCGUCGAGGACCGACUCAAAGAAGACGAAGAUUGAGGCUAGAGAAAAAUGGAGAAUUCCCAAAGCACAUGGCUAAGUCUGAUAGAGUCGGCCUACCCAGAGCCUGUAUCGAGGAGUCGCGUCUAGCCGUCCCAUCUCCAUGAUUUUACAAUUAAUGCGCGUUGUACUAUAACAACAUUCCCCUCCUAUAUAAAGGGAAUCCUCACCACUUUGUAAAGAGUUGUUGUUGCUCCAACCAUUCUACACAAGAUCAAUAACAACUCUCUCUCUCUCUAUCUUCUCUCUACUUACUCGCUCGAGGCGACUCUUUCCAUUUAUUGCUUUCAUACUAUGUUCUUCUUUUAUUGCUUGAUAUUGGUCAUAAAGAGCCUUCUUUAAUCAUAUCUUAACUGUUAUUCCCUUCCCGGUUAUCCCCGAUAGCUCGAGCUCGAGCCCAGGUAUCGAACUCGAGCCUAGGCAUUAACCUCGAGGCCCCUCAUCGGCCAGUCCGAGGCCCGAGUAGCUAGCCCCUCGGUUUGAUUACUGCCCCAUUUUAGCUUGUAUUUCGUCGAUUAAACUUCACAUAUUUAGCAUCCAAUGCUCUAACAACUAGCAUAAAAAUAGAUCACAUAUUUUUAGAGUCUCAUUUACAAAUUUAAUUAUUAUUACCAUUUUCACGGUAAACAGUUUAGCGCCCACCGUGGGGCUAAACAUAAUAGUGAUUAUUUUCUUGCUGGUUUCAUUACACAACGCAAGUUAUCUUUCACUCUUUUUCUUGUCCAAGAUAUUUUGAUUUCAGGACAAAAUGUCUGGCUCAGUAAAGAGAGUCGAGAACGACGACCUCGGAAACCACGGGGAAAAUGAUAUGGUUGUUCCAGUCGUCGGGCGUGCCACCGCAGAAUCCUGAUAAAGUAGCCAGACCGAUUUCAGCAGAUGCGGAUUCGUAGGACGCACAGUAGGUCGACGAAACCUCACACACCGACAGGAGCAUGCGGCAUGACGACUAAUAAGAAGCCCAAAAAAUCCCAACUUGGGAAGAACAGGAAGUUAGUCUUCAUAUUAUUUUAGAAAUGUUCCAGGCACAACAGUUGGCUAUCGCUCAGUUGCAAAGCCACCCGAAUACUCCCAGCACAGUAGCACCGGAAACAGCUCCCUCAGCCGAACAUGUACCCGGGAGAUCGAGCAAUAACGGAUCGAUAACCGACUCUGCCAUAGUAAAAAUACUUGAGGAUCUCACCAAAAGAAUCGAAUCAGGUAAGAAAAUGAUAGCAACCAAUGAUAAGAAGGUCAAGACCUAUAACUCUAGGGUCAACAAGAUCCCGGGUGCACCCCCGGUCCUCAAGGGCGUGGAUUUGAAAGAGUUCAUACAAAGGUCGUUCCCCAAGGAAGCAGCCCCAAAACCCAUUCCAAAGAAGUCCGGGAUGACAGAACUCUCAAAGUACAAUGGGACCUCAGAUCCCAACGAACACAUCACUGCCUAUACUUGCGCGGUGAAAGGCAAUGACACAAAAGACGAUGAGAUCGAGUCCAUCUUAUUGAAGAGGUUCGGGGAAACGCUCUCGAAGGGGGCCAUGAUAUGGCAUAAUAGCCUAGCUCCCAAUCCCAUAAACUCACUUACCAUACUACAGGAUUCCUUCAUAAAGGCACACGUCGGUACCAUCGAAGCAAUGUCGAGAAAGCCCGACGCAUUCGAGAUUAAGCAAAGGGAGAAUGAAAUGCUGCGAGAAUUCUCAUCUCAUUCCCAGAUGGAACGAAUGGAACUACCCCCGAUCUCAAUUGAUUGGGCGGUGCAGGACUUCACUCAAAACCUAAACAAACAAAGCCCGGUGAUUUCAAGGCAAUUGAAACAGAACUUGAUCGGGUAUCCAGCCAAAACCUGGUCAGACAUCCACAUCUGGCACCAGUCGCAAAUCAGGGUCGUGGAUGACCAGCUGGGAGCCCCCUCAGGCUCAGUAUACCCAAGCAGGCUCCUAGCAAAGAAAUCGAUGCCAAAGAAAGAAAAAUAUCGCCCUUAUGCUGCAGAUAGGAGGAAUGCCUCGAGAUGCAACCUACCUCGCAACGAUCGGAGAAUAGAUCGAGGGUAAUAUCCUCGAGGAAUCGUCAACAGAGCCAAAUUCAACAGGGACACGAGGCCAGUGAGGGCACCUUGCCCAUCAGGAUAAAAUUUCAACAUCGUUAUAUCAAACAUCGUGUUCACCGUCAGCAAAACCAGGGACGCCAAAUGGCCCAGACCUAUUCAGUCAAAUCCCUCUCAGAGGAAUCACAGCUUGGUGUGUGAACUAUAUAAUACACAAGGCCACGGGGCCGAAGAUGGCCACCAACUCCGAAGGAAAAAAGCCAAGCUACUCAAUAAAAAUAGCCGCCGAGAACUAUCGAGCGACAGACUCAAGUUCAGUUCCGAAUAAGGAAGGUGACCAUGAAGAAUGAAGCAAAUGGGUCGUGACAUAUUACCAUGAUAGCGGAUGAGCGACGACACUCUCCAAUAACUUAUAAAGAGGAGGGUAAAAAUGCCUGUCACUAGAGAAAAGCGGAUCCGGGGAUAUAUUCUUGAGGAUCCCCUCACAAUCGGCAAAGAGGAUGCCAAGACCUUGUCUCCGCCUCACACUGACACACUGGUAACCUUCUUUCUCAUUCGAUCCAUAUCAAAUAAAACACGUGCUUAUGAAUUCAGGUGGCUCGAUCAACAUUAUCGGGCCGAGGAUGAUAUGGCGGCUCGGACCGCCGGACCAAAUCACGCCUGCCUCUCGAAUCUUUGGCGGAUGUCAUACAGCGAUCGAGAAGACGAUAAGAAAGACCAUUCUCUCAGUCAGCAUAGCUGGCGCAGACCGAAUCGCCAAGUUUCGUAACAUCAAAGGAGGCACAAGGCAUGAACGCCUUAUUCAGAUGGUCGUGGAUGCACUACGUGAAAGCGGUGUCGUUGCCUCUUCACCAAAGGAUAAAAUCCCCCGCAAGGCACGGAAUUAAAAUCGUCGGCAGGGAGCAACAUGCGGAAAGGGGAAUGUUCGCGUCACAUAACGUAUCGUCGGCACCAAUAUCUCCACUCUCGAAAGAGUCAAAGGGUAAUCAAACUAUGUCUUCGGCCAAGCUCGAUUAAACACAGUGGAGGGAUAGCUCCAAAAUAGCAGGGACAUAUCGGGCCUCGGAAUAUCGCCUGCUCAUCCCGCGAUAAGGUAAGACCACCUCCCUCCUUCGUUAUUUUACACUAACCUGUAUGCAGACACCCGGCCAGGGCGUUGGGAAGUGUUAACCCUACCCGAAGAUCCCAAGGCCUUAAUGGCACCCGUUGCACUCUUUCUCCUCGGCCGAACUUUCACCCCGAAGAGGGUAUGGCCAGCAAGGUUCUCAGUGGGGUAACGUGCCUCCUAAGGAGGAUCCGACAAACUCGCAUGGCUCCUUUUGCAAUCAACCCCGAACGUUGGAAGGCACCCCCCUUGAAGAUGUCGUCCGCUUGGAAGGUCCGGGGAACGACAGACUAAGUUCCAAUAGGAAAUAAUGUACCAUGUCAAACGGUCAAAAGAGUCGUGCCCACGCAGGCCGAGCUCACCGCAACGAAACAACAUGUACUUACGCUAAGCAAUCAAAGGAUAUAUUUUGCCAAAAGCAUCUCGUACUCCAAAGAAAAUUCAGCAUACUCAUGGCACGGAUCCCUCCAUCAAGUACGUCCCUAAAUACUCAGAGACUUAGUGUUAACAAUUUGAUACCCACAUGACCUCAAGGUCGAAACUUCGUGCUCGUAAGACAUCGACGAGGCAAUUUCAAGCUCACGAUUAACAGCUUUCGAGCCUAAGCAAACUCGAUGACUCGGAGACUGUCGUCAAUCGCCAUUUACUAAAAACCCCUAGGUCGUAAGACCCCGAGAGGGGCAAACUCGGUCUGGCCAGAUUUAUUUUACAUUACAACAAAAAAUAACUGUAAGACCUCAACAUGCAUGAAAAAACUGUAAGACCUCAACAGGCAUGAAAAAACUGUAAGACCUCAACAGGCAUGAAAAUUUUGUAAGACCUUACUACAGGCAUAUAACUCAAUCCCGAAGUUCAGGCUAUAUGUCGUAUUUGUAAGACUCCCGAAAGGGCAUACCCUUGAUAUAGACGCCUAAACUGCCACACAUAGGAUCACAAAUGGCUCCUACCAAACACAAAUGACUAUGGUCAAUAUGGUUGCACCAGCCAAAUUAACGCGACUCGGGGAAGCCCGACUGUUGCUAACAAAAUCAGAGGCCAUUACUUCGAAUCUACUUCGAAAAGAACCGGUUAAAACAGGCUACCCUCAAUAGGCAAAAGAGCUUCGACCAUGUCAGCUCCAAAUCAGAAGGCUUCGGGCUACUCAGCCUACGAGCUAAACCUUUCGAGGUGCUCGAACAUCGCCACCAACGACUUGAAAUCGAGGUUCUUCUCGAACCGAUGAUGGGCCAAGCAAAAUCAUUUCAAAAAGUCCUUAACGAGAGGUAAACAAAGACUACAUAUGCCCAUGCGCAAAAGCGUAAGAGCCAUUAUUGCCAGCCAAAUGAGCCUUAGGGCCACAUACUAAAAGGUCGCAACGACCAAAAGCGUAAGAGCCACUGUCGCCAACUUAAAAUUUGAAAACUUGAGGAUUAAAAUGAGCUCGAGUCGUAACCCAAUUCGGAGACCAGAUCCAAAAUAGUUAACUAUACAUGCCUAAGAGCACAGCGUAAGAGCCAUCGUCACCAGCUUCACAAGCCUAAAGGCCACAUACAUAAGAGGUCGCUUCGACCCAAGGUGUAAGAGCCAUUGCCGCCAGCUCUAAAAAAAACUUGAGGGCCAAUUAAGCUCGAGUCGCAACCCGACUCAGAGAAUGAACCCAAAAUAAUUAAAAUACAAAUGCCCAAGGGCAAGGCAUAAGAUCCAUUGUCGGCCACCCAUGCAGAUGUAAAAGCUUGAGGGUCGAAUAGGCUCGAGUCGAAACCCGACUCAGAGACUAAACUCAAAACAGUUGAACAAAGCAUAAGAGCUUUAAUGUCAGCUUGCGCUAAAGGCCGCAUCAACCAAGCAUAUAAAAGCCUCUAGGCCUGCCUGAUGAGCUCCGGCACCGUAUUACGAAUCUAAUAAUUCUCGCCAAAUCCGAAACCAGCCCGCCUGGUCAAAAGCAAAGUAGAAAGGGAUACAUAAGAGAUAAACUUCAGGUUUUCUUUUAUUUACAUACGCAAAAAGGUGUGUUCUCCAUCUACAAAUGCGCUCUGCGAAUAUCACAUACAAAAUGGCAAAGUCUAUGCUCCAUUUCAAAAGGCUACGGCCCACCAGCCUCGUCUUCACUCUCCGAGGCAUCGGCCGCUCUCGCUCAAGCCAGCUCUUCCGGAAGAACAAACCCCUAACACUGACCUCUUCGAGUACCUCUCUUCAGGAUCUGCAACGAACAUAUUCUUCGAUCCUCUUUGCACGAUCGAGGGACCUCUUCAACUCGGCUUGGGCAUCAAAAGCAUCCUUCAAAUGAAUCGCCAUCUCCUGAACAGCCCUAGUCCGACUCAAUGUUACUUCAGCCCGAGCAUCAAUGAUUUCAGCCCGACCUUUGAAAGUUCUGACUCGAGCUUCACGAUCAUAUCCGCUUGAACAGAAACGUUGUCACUGUCACACCUCCUUUUUGCCUACAUUCUUGGAAGGGUAUAAGGGAGUUUUUCCAAUUAAAGGACAAUCGAAACGGGAUUUAUUGUUAAAUGAUUCAGAGUCGCCACUUGAGAGAUUUAUGGUGUCCCAAGUCACCGGUUGAAUCCCGAAUCGAGUAAAAGCUUGACUCUGUUUAACAGUCUGUGAACCAGAAAUCCGAGUAAGGAAUUAUGUUAACCCGGGAGAAGGUGUUAGGCAUUCCCAAGUUCCGUGGUUCUAGCACGGUCGCUCAACUGUUAUGUUCGGCUUAAUUAUAUGAUUUUAAACAAUUAUGAACCUAUGUGCAGAUUUUAACUUUCAAACCGCUUUUAUUUAAUUUUAGGAAGUUUCAAUGUUAUCUAAAACACAUCUUGAACCACGCCACAUGAAAUGCACCUGCGGUCCAUGACACAUUUUAUUUAACAUUGUUGAGAAUUGAAAUUGGGUCGCAUGAAAUGCACACCCGAAAUUAGUAAUUAAAGAAAAUCAAUUUGGGGAACGCUCCUAAAGCAAACUACGGUGUUCAUGAAUUGUUAACUUCUAAUACUGUUUUGAGAUACAUUGUAAGGUGUAUGGAUUAUGGAGCAGUUCUGGAUCAUAUCCCAGCAUUGCUAUUAGUGAGAAGACAUUGCUACUGCUUUACUUUUUUCUUGGUCGAAAUACACUACUAUUAGUGAGCAAAAUGUCCAAAAUAUGGCCACCAAUUCAGAAUUGAAGAGGAAUAAUUGGUACUAUAUGUAGUGACCCUUUUGAGAAACAAUUUACAAAAUCUGAUGUUGAUGAGCAUCGGGGAGGAUAUUAUUAAACAAGGAAGAUGUGAGGAGUAAACUAUUACCAUUAUUGAAUUCUAAUUCAUGCCCAACUUGAAGGAAAUCAGACAUGGCUUUUAGAAUGACAUACUUUUUACUAAAACAAAAUAUUUAAACACAAUAAAAUAAUGGGAGUUGCAACUGCCAAAUGAUUGAUCCUAAGGUCCGACUAGAAGAAAAGAGUUCACUGAACUAUUGAGAUUAAGGAAUUAUACAUUUUGGAAAUAAAGAACUACCAAAUCCUCAUUUUGCCAAGAAGUACUAAAGCCAGAAUGAAGAUUGCUUUACCAUAUGGAGAACAAGAAGCACAUACGUGGGAAUUCUAAUUUACAUAAAACCAAUUUUCACUUCAACUUAUUAUAAAGAUGCUUGAAUAUCUCAUUUUAAAACAAAGAUCCAUGAAUAAGAUUAUCAAGUGAUGCAAGUAUAUGUCACUGUAAUUAUACUUGUUCUUCGAGAAAUCAUUGUUGACAGCCUCUUCUAACAAUCAACCGCACUAUUGCAGAGUUCACAUCAAGACUUUUAAUUACAAUCCUUAAUGAAAUCAAGGAGGAAUAAAUAAUUUUACUGUAAUUACAGUUCAUUUAUAAUGAUAUCCAAACAUAAACAGAAGAUGCUCGGCUCUUAAUUCAAAUUUGUCAAUCCCAUAGUUUAUUCAAUCCGACUUUUGGCUUCAAAUUUAACAGCCCGACCAAUUAAUGGCUAAAUCUGUAAGUCACAACUAUACAAGACAAGAACAAAACUCUUCUCAUCACCCAUUACUACACAGCUUUUUAUCAAACAUAAGGAUCAUAAUUUUAUUUUAAUUAAAACUCAUGCUUAACAAUCAGGAUAUGCAAAUCAGCAAACAAAAAAAACCAUUAAACUCAGCAUGUAAAAACAUGAUUCACACUUCACAUACUUUCAGUCCAAAAUGAAUAUGUUGUCAUAUGAUUCGAAUGAUGAAUACAUAAUCAGAAAAGUGAUUAAUACCUGGACAGCAGUAGUAAGACUUUAAAAUAGCCAAAUAAGGCCUAAAAUAACUUCAAAUUAGUGGUCAGCUACUAAUUGAAGGAGAAACGGCAACAAACAGCUUCGACUUCUGAAAUAGAAGUCAAAAUCGAACACCCAUGAGAUGUAUAAGUACUGCAGCAAUAAUCGGACCAGAUUUACAUUCUUCGUGGUUCCUUUUCUUUACUUUUUUUUUGUUUUCGAAGCUUUGAAGGAGGGGAUGCGUCUGGCUUGUGCUUGAGAAGGGAUUUUCUGAUUGUAAAGAGGGAAGGUUUUCUUCUUCUUCUUUUUUUCUUCUGUUCUUCAGAGGAUUGGAGAUGGGAGUUAUGCGCUGUUUUUCUAUUUCUCAGGGUCUUCCCCGAUCCCUUUUGUGCCUUAGCCCCCUUUUAUGUGAGGGAUUAGGGUAUAAA